rnacentral:rRNA from 1 species
AUUCUCGAACUCCGAACGGGCAAGGAGCCGGGGUCGCCCGAUCGGACCCCGGACGUGAAGUCGACGAUGGUCGGUGGGCUGGUUUUGGUAAGCAGAACGGGCGAUUCGGGAUGAACCGGAAGCGGGGAGAAAGGGCCCGAGAUUGCGUCGACGCGGAUCCCGAAAAGGGCGUCGAUCCGUCGCGACAGCGGGACGGUGGUCAUGGAAGUCGAAAUCCGCUAAGAAGCGUGUAAAAACGUACCCGCCCAACGGAUCGGCCCCCGAAAAUUGAUGGCGCUCGAACGCAACCCUCGAACCCCGCCGACGGAGGCUAGGGGAGGCCCCGUCGAGUAGGCGGACGCGCGGGUCGCUUCGACGCUCCCGCGCGAGCGGGGCGGAGCGGCCCGUGGUGCAGAUCUUGGUGGUAGUAGCGAUCACCCAGGCGAGAACCCUGAGGGCCGAAGUGGAGAAGGGUUCUCGAGAACGGCACUCGCUCGAGAGUUAGUCGAUCCUAAGCUGCCGGCGGCAGCCACGAAACGGUCGAUCGGGCGCGAGCCCGGCAGCCCAC